rnacentral:misc_RNA from 1 species
UAAUUUAGUAUUCCUAAUUAGGUUUGAAUUAGGAUUCUAAAAUCCUAUAGUGAUUGGGAUUCCUAGUUCUAUAAAUAAGAUCUAGGGUUUUUAUUGUUAUUAGACAAACAUUGUUAUGACAAUUUUUAUGAGAUCAAUAAUAUCUUGAGAAUCAGUUAUUUUUUUCAAGGAUUGGUCCUUGAUUUCUUAUUCUUCUUAGUUCUUUACUUUGUUCUACCUCAGGCAGGUUAGGUUGUUGGCAACAUGAGAGAGAAAAAGGACGGAAAAUUAUUAAAAAAAUUGUUUUUAGUUCUAAUUAAUAGUAAAACAGUAUGAUUUGUUUUCAAUUUUUGACCAAUGGAUACAUUGCUACUAAUCUUUUAAAAUAGGUAAAGUUGACAAAAUUGUUAGGGCAAAAAUUGCUAUUGUGAAAAAGGUUUGGAUUUUGUCUAUUUGGUCUUCAUAUGAUCAUGGCAACGUAGAUGGUGAAAUAAAUAUAAAAGAACAAGAACCAAACCAAUUUAUUAUGUUUUGUUUUACUUGAAGAGAAAGCACAAUAUUAUUGUGCCCUCUAAUUUGCAGUUGGCUGCUUUGUAUUUUUCAAUCAUUCGGUACCUAUGAAAAAUGCAGUAUGGUACUUCCCAGUUCCCAUUUAUGUGACUUGCAUCUUGUUUAUGGCACUUUUAGCUUGUCCUUUUCGUUCCUCGUAAAGAAACAUAGAAUAAGUUAUAGAUCAUCUGGAAAGAUAUGUGCACAUGUAUAUAUUUGGUUAACUCCUGCAAUUAUAUUAUACUUUCAAUUUGGGUGGCAUGAGCAGGUACCUUGUUACAACAUUUAAGGU